rnacentral:rRNA from 1 species
UACGUAGGGUGCAAGCGUUAAUCGGAAUUACUGGGCGUAAAGCGUGCGCAGGCGGUUUGGUAAGACAGAUGUGAAAUCCCCGGGCUCAACCUGGGAAUUGCGAUGGAGACUGCAAGGCUAGAAUCUGGCAGAGGGGGGUAGAAUUCCACGUGUAGCAGUGAAAUGCGUAGAGAUGUGGAGGAACACCGAUGGCGAAGGCAGCCCCUGGGUCAAG